UACAGUUAUUGAUAGAUCAAUGUUCACAAUGUUUUGUGUCUAACUUGUUUUUUUUUUUUUUCUUUUUUUUUUUUUCAAAUAAAAUUUAAAUCAUGCCGUUAGGUUUUGUCUGGUAGCUUUUGUUAUAAAAAAUGUCAGAUAUAUUGUGUCAGUGGCUCGACAUGGAGCUCCCCCCAACCAGAACCUAAAUCAUUUGAGAAUCAGCAUCACCUAGUUAAAAGAAGACUGGGUGAAAUUAUGGCGAGGAUACAGGCAGCUAUUUUUCACAUUCCUAAACCCCCACCAAACCACACUCUGAAAGCUACUGCACCACAGAAACAGCAGAAGAAAAAACAGGAAUCUCAGACCAUGCUGGGGAAUGGGUCCCAUCUGAGGAGUGUGAAGUAAAAGAACCUCCGGCAAACAACAAUGUCCUGGGUCAUGUGAUUCGCAGAUUGUUUGACCUCAUAAAUCCACCCAGACCAGCAACCCCACCUCCUGAAUUCCCUCAUUUCUCACUGAAUGCAUGUGCUAUGGGAAAAAUGUUUGCUGGCAAAUCCACCUGUUUGGCUAAAAUAGCAAGAGCUCACCGCAUCCAGAUUCUGUCUGCUGACUGCCUAGUUCAGGAAGCUGUAAAAGCCUUUAAUGACAGUGAAGAGACAGAGAUCAUAACAGAAGAAAAAGGAAACUAGGAAAGAAAACCAGGCCCAAGAAAACCCAUCUUUAACCGGUAGAUCUGGUUUAGUUCCAGAUAACGUGUCUGGUGCUGAAAAUCAACAAAUAGUAAAAUCAUCAGACUCAGGUAAUCACUCCCAGGAGAUCCAAAACCAGGCAGUCAAGGUCAACAAAAAGGAUUCCAACUCAAAGAUGCUCCAGAUGUGUUUUCUGGAGAUGAUGAACAAUUCAAACAUUAAAAAGAAAACUACAUUGGAACUGCUGAUAUUUCAAAAUGUCAAACAACUAGCUGCCGUCUUCCUGCAGAAUCUGGAUGGGUCUUGGAUAGGUUUCCAGUGAAUUUAAAUCAAGCGAAACUGUUGGAGAAAGCACUCUCAGGGAUUGACCCUGACAAAGCAAUCUGAAAAAAUGAAAAAACGUAAAGCAGCAGUGUUAACAACAGACCCAACAGCUCCAAAAGAACCACCUUUUCCUCCUCCUGUUUUGGAUUUGGCAGUCUUGUUUGAUGUGUCUGACAACAUUGUGCUGAGACAAGCUGCAAAAAACACAUGUGGACAACAAUCUUCUGACCUCUAUCAAGAAGAGUUUAACCCACCCCCAGAAGGAUCUACCACAGGUGUUUGAAGCAAAGAAAUGGU